rnacentral:rRNA from 1 species
UACGUAGGUGGCGAGCGUUGUCCGGAUUUACUGGGCGUAAAGAGCGCGCAGGCGGUCGUACAAGUCGCGUGUGAAAGCCCCUGGCUCAACUGGGGAGGGUCACGCGAUACUGUUCGACUCGAAGGCAGGAGAGGGAAGUGGAAUUCCCGGUGUAGUGGUGAAAUGCGUAGAUAUCUGGAGGAACACCGGUGGCGAAGGCGGCAUCCUGGACCAAUUCUGACGCUGAGGAGCGAAAGCCAGGGGAGCAAACGGG